rnacentral:rRNA from 1 species
AACGAACGCUGGCGGCACGCCUAACACAUGCAAGUCGAACGGAAUAAGUAGCUUCGGUUAUUUAUUGAGUGGCGGACGGGUGAGUAACACGUGGGGACCUGCCCAGUAGUGGGGGAUAACUGUUGGAAACGACAGGUAAUACCGCAUACGCCCUUCGGGGGAAAGAUUUAUCGCUAUUGGAUGGGCCCGCGGUGGAUUAGGUAGUUGGGAGGGUAAAGGACUACCAAGCCAAUGAUCCAUAGCUGUUUUGAGAGGACGACCAGCAACACUGGGAAUGAGAAGCGCCCAAGACUCCUCGGGGAGGGAGAAGUGGGAAAUAUUGAAAAAGGGUGAAAAGUCUGCUCCAGCCAUGCCGGGGGGGUAAGGAAGGCUUGGGGUUUGAAAAGCUCUUUUAUGCGGGACGAUAAGGACGGUACCGGAGGAAUAAGCCCCGGCUAACUUCGUGCCACCCGCCGCGGUAA